UCAGACUCGCGGCACCGAGCUCAGUAACACGUGGCCAAACUACCCUACAGAGACGGAUACCCUCGGGAAACUGAGGUUAACCCGUCAUACCGAUCUCAGGCUUGAAUCGCAGGGAUCACAAAACGCCCCGGCGCUGUAGGAUGUGGCUGCGGUUGAUUAGGUAGACGGUGGGGUAACGGCCCACCGUGCCCAUAAUCAGUACAGGUUGUGAGAGCAAGAACCUGGAGACGGAAUCUGAGACAAGAUUCCGGGCCCUACGGGGCGCAGCAGGCGCGAAACCUUUACACUGCACGCCAGUGCGAUAAGGGGAUCCCAAGUGCGCAGGCAUAGUGCCUGCGCUUUUCUGGACUGUAGGGCGGUCCAGGAACAAGGGCUGGGCAAGACCGGUGCCAGCCGCCGCGGUAAUACCGGCAGCCCGAGUGAUGGCCGCUGUUAUUGGGCCUAAAGCGUCCGUAGCUGGCCGCACAAGUCCGUCGGGAAAUCCGCCCGCUCAACGGGCGGCCGUCCGGCGGAACCUGUGUGGCUUGGGACCGGGAGGCCUGAGGGGUACGAUCGGGGUAGGAGUGAAAUCCUGUAAUCCCGCUCGGACCGCCGAUGGGGAAACCACCUCAGGAGAACGGAUCCGACAGUGAGGGACGAAAGCCAGGGUCUCCAACCGGAUUAGAUACCCGGGUAGUCCUGGCCGUAAACAAUGUUCGCUAGGUAUGACACAGACUACGCGUCUCUGUUGUGCCGUAGGGAAGCCG
rnacentral:rRNA from 1 species